rnacentral:rRNA from 1 species
GUUCCUACGGGGGGCAGCAGUGGGGAAUAUUGGGCAAUGGGCGCAAGCCUGACCCAGCAACGCCGCGUGAAGGAAGAAGGCUUUCGGGUUGUAAACUUCUUUUAUCAGGGACGAAGCAAGUGGCGGUACCUGAUGAAUAAGCCACGGCUAACUACGUGCCAGCAGCCGCGGGAAUACGGAGGUGGCAAGCGGUAUCCGGAUUUACUGGGUGGAAAGGGCGUGUAGGCGGGAGCGCAAGGCAGAUGGGAAAACUAUGGGCUCAAACCAUAGCCUGCAUUUGAAACUG